rnacentral:lncRNA from 1 species
AAGUUUUCCUUUUAAAAGCUCUAGAGUUUUAUCAACUCUAAUUUGUCCCAUGAGUUCUCCUUCAUGAAGACUCUUUCUCUUAUGUGUAAGGAUAGUCUCGUUGUGACAACCAUUGUUUAUAAGGAUUUGUACACUUUGCAAUGGUUGUCUCAAUAAGACAUGACAAGUUUCUUUAGGCCCUACUUCACAUAAAAAUUUGUUUUUGUAGAUGCUUAUAAAAAACUUGACAUUCACUUGGUGAUAUCCUAGCACAUAUGAGAAAUAAU